UAAGCGGCGCAUGUUUCAAAAAACAGUGAGAAGAAGAUUAUAGAGGAGUAAGGAUACAAAAAAACAUUGUUUCAGACUGUGUAUCAAAGAAUCUGCAGGCUUUCGGAGUUUGAGAGAUUUCGUAUCAGCUUUGUUUGAUUGUAAACUCAAUGCAGGUUUCCAACUAUAGUGACUAUUGAUGAUUGUAUCAGGAACAUUAACAAGCCAUGGAUGAAGAAGAUAAAUCUUUCAGAUUCAUAGUGACACCAAUAACUGCUGUGAAAGCCACCCACCAAAAGCCUUUACUCCGCAAGAAGGUUUGCUUGCUUUUCUCCUAUGUUAUCAUCCAGAAAACAGGUGGGAAUAAGUUUAAUUUUUAAAGUUCUUAAUGAUAUGUGAACUGUGAUAGGUUUAGGUGUAUGUGAAUAUUAUUUGCUUCAAAAUCUGGUAUAUGGAUGUUAAUUGAUGCAAGCAACAUGUUGCAUAUUGUCAGAGCAAAGCUUAAACUUACCAAGCAGAGAAGGAAGAGAUGGGUCAGAUGAAAUGGUCGUGAGUAUGAUCUAAAGACAUGUGUAGACUUUUACAUAUUGAGUCACGACAUUCCCGAUUCUGAUGAACAAACGUCUUAUCUUAUACUCAUGUGACUGAUACUACAUAGGAAGAUGAUCCCAUGGAUCUGUAUCUGGGGUGAUGGUGUAAGUUGUUCUCUAUGACAUGAGUCAUUGUCAAUGGUGGUGACUGAAAUGUAUCAAAUAGUUGCAGGUGGUCAAGAAGCUAACCAGGGGCAGUUAUGGUCCAAGGGAAUGUAGGAAACAGCAACUGCAAAUUACAAAGUUGUAACCUGGUGAUGACUAAACCUUCCACGGUAGGCACGGUUGAGGAAGAGUCGGUGACGGCGAAGUAAUACACACAGACGAUUAGCAUGGAGACGGAAUGAGAUAGAUGAGAAGAGAGGGACAACACAGGAGAAGCUGCGGAGAUGCUGGAGAGUCAUGAAAAUUGAGGCUACGGCUCUCAUCUCAGAAGAGUCGCAGAAUAUAGCGGAGUUUGUGAGUGGCCUACACAUCAAUUUCAAUUUCUAGAAUAACCACAAUUUGUAACAAGAAUAGUUCACAGUUUAAUAGUUUACUAUAUCUGGUUCAACUUGACAGAUUAUCUAUCUUACCAAAGGAUAGCCAGUUUAAUAUUUUAGUUUGUCUUUUAAUGGGAAACACUUCUUAUGUAAGGCCUAAAACAACUUCGAAGAUAUUAAAUCAGAAAUCAUUAUUUCU